UACGUAGGUCCCGAGCGUUGUCCGGAUUUAUUGGGCGUAAAGCGAGCGCAGGUGGUUUAUUAAGUCUGGUGUAAAAGGCAGUGGCUCAACCAUUGUAUGCAUUGGAAACUGGUAGACUUGAGUGCAGGAGAGGAGAGUGGAAUUUCAUGUGUAGCGGUGAAAUGCGUAGAUAUAUGGAGGAACACCGGUGGCGAAAGCGGCUCUCUGGCCUGUGACUGACACUGAGGCUCGAAAGCGUGGGGAGCAAACAGG
rnacentral:rRNA from 1 species